rnacentral:rRNA from 1 species
UACGGAGGGGGCUAGCGUUGUUCGGAAUUACUGGGCGUAAAGCGCGCGUAGGCGGACCUGCAAGUCGGGGGUGAAAGCCCGAGGCUCAACCUCGGAACUGCCUUCGAUGCUGCGGGUCUCGAGUCCGGGAGAGGUGAGUGGAAUUCCUAGUGUAGAGGUGAAAUUCGUAGAUAUUAGGAAGAACACCAGUGGCGAAGGCGGCUCACUGGCCCGGUACUGACGCUGAGGCGCGAAAGCGUGGGGAGCAAACAGG